rnacentral:rRNA from 1 species
UACGGGGGAGCAAGCGUUGUUCGGAUUACUGGGCGUAAAGGGCGCGUAGGCGGCCACCGCAAGUCGAUUGUGAAAUCUCCGGGCUUAAGCCCGGAAAGGUCAACCGAUACUGCGGGCUAGAGUGCAGAAGGGGCAACUGGAAUUCUCGGUGUAGCGGUGAAAUGCGUAGAUAUCGAGAGGAACACCUGCGGCGAAGGCGGGUGCUGGGCUGACACUGACGCUGAAGUGCGAAAGCUAGGGGAGCGAACGGG